GACACAGCAUGUAGCACCAACACUUUCUAUGAAUACAUUUUUAAAGUUUAUUUCUAACUUAAUGAUAUUAAGACGCGUUUAUAAAUCUAGCGACCCGAGAUGGAAGAACUAGGUGCAAAGAACUGAAGACAAGAAUUAUGCGCUUGUCACCGCAGUCCGUCAUAAAUGGACCAUCUGCCCGGUGUGAUGAUGCAAGACUGCAAGAUCGGUCCAUUAUGUCACCAUUCAAACUCAAACCGCAAGGUUCUACAAUUAAAAUAAAUUCUAAGUUGAAUAGAGGUCCUUAUAGUCCAUAUGAGAAGCUAAUAGUUGUUAGCGAGAUAUAUCAUUCUCAUGGUUUCAAGUGCACGUGUUAGGGCUCCCGAGAGGCGCAGCAGUCUAAGGCACUACAGUCCCUGGUUCGGAUCCAGCCUAAAUCACACCCGGUCGUGAUUGGGAGUCCCAUAGGGCGGCGCACAAUUGGCCCAACGUCGUCCGGGUUUGGCCGAGUGUAGAUGGUGCAGAAGUCCUGAAUUCAACAGUGAAGGCUCUAAAGGAUGGGCAAGUUGUGGUUGUGCCAACGGACACAAUAUAUGGGCUGGCUUGGUUGGCUCAGAAUUCCAAUGCCAUCAAAAAGGUGUAUGACAUCAAAGGACGUAAUGGUGAGAAACCACUGGCCAUUUGUGUUGGAGAAAUCAAAGACAUUUACAAUUAGUAGUAGUGUGCAUCCCGGACCAGGCCUUCAUGAGACGCCUCUGCCAGAUUUGUCGGGAACCUCUUGCCCUCACCAGCGGCAACAUCAGCUCACACUCCAGCACUGUGGCUGUACAUGUAUGUUGAGACAACCCACCGUGUGUGAGAACUGUUUUUAUUCCAUGAACUGGAGGGGAGGUGGGACUACAUCAUCUACAACUAACCAAGGUUUAUCAGUGCAUCAUUUUUCACUGAUACUUAAAAGGACUUUGGCAAAAUAGUAGUUAUACAGGAGUUCCAGGAUCUGUGGCCUCAGUUAUCAGUGGUGGUGGAUGGCGGACCAAUAGGAGACGAGUCGGUUGGGGUCAACAGGCAAAUACCGCAUCAUCAAGACCUGGCUAGUGAAUAGUGAUACUGGCCUGCUCAGCAGAUUACAAGCCACUGACUGUAAUACAUUUCAAUCCGUUUUGUUAAUUUAUCCAAGUUAAAAGUACAUGAGCACAUGUUGUGAGUAGUAGUUUAAACAUACAGUAUAGUGAAAAUGACCUGUGGUAGUGAUAACCCCCCCUGCUCUUUUCUAUUCUUUCAGUGCCUUCUCUUCCACAGUUCAUGUGCUAGAGCAAAUAUGGACUGUCAGAAGACACGGGAUGAGUGAGGUUUGCCCCCUUCAAAUUCAUACCACAUGCUGAAAUGUACAACCAGCAAGAACCUGUGCUUACCAUGGCCAAAUACAACUCUGAAUGAUGGCAAUGCCUGCAACGCUGAGGCGAGUGAUGAUUUCUAAAGGAAGGACGGUCCUUUUGCACAUUGCAUGCUAUUGUGGAAUGCUCUGUGUUUCUUGUAAAACUUAAGGGAUUUGUUUUUGUCUUUCUGGGUUAUUAGCUGUCCAAGCAUUGUUGUUUCUAUGGGAAAAACCCUUUUUUUCACAAAUUGGUCUUCUGACCAAUCAGAUCAGCUCUGAAAAAUAUCUGAUGAGAAAAGAUCUGAUGUGAUUGGUCAGACCAAUUGGUGGGGAAAAGAAUAUCAGGAUUGGGCUGACUGUGUAAAUGCAGCCUAUGAGCUGUGAUCUAGUGUAUUAUUGCUCAACAGUUUUGAGUACCUGAUUACUGGUUUGUAUAAUGGACCAAUGAGAGUAUGUUGUUGACAAUAAAUGGCAUGCAUUAUACAGAUCAUGAUGGCUUGGGUUGGUUUUCUCUCCUCGCCUAUAGUACAGGGUGAAUGUCAGUGUGGUGGAUGAACUACUGCAGAAGCUCC